UGAACGCUAGCUACAGGCUUAACACAUGCAAGUCGAGGGGAAACGACAUCGAAAGCUUGCUUUUGAUGGGCGUCGACCGGCGCACGGGUGAGUAACGCGUAUCCAACCUGCCCAUCACUUGGGGAUAACCUUGCGAAAGUAAGACUAAUACCCAAUGAUAUCUCUAGAAGACAUCUGAAAGAGAUUAAAGAUUUAUCGGUGAUGGAUGGGGAUGCGUCUGAUUAGCUUGUUGGCGGGGUAACGGCUCACCAAGGCGACGAUCAGUAGGGGUUCUGAGAGGAAGGUCCCCCACAUUGGAACUGAGACACGGUCCAAACUCCUACGGGAGGCAGCAGUGAGGAAUAUUGGUCAAUGGACGAGAGUCUGAACCAGCCAAGUAGCGUGCAGGAUGACGGCCCUAUGGGUUGUAAACUGCUUUUAUAAGGGAAUAAAGUGAGUCUCGUGAGACUUUUUGCAUGUACCUUAUGAAUAAGGACCGGCUAAUUCCGUGCCAGCAGCCGCGGUAAUACGGAAGGUCCGGGCGUUAUCCGGAUUUAUUGGGUUUAAAGGGAGCGUAGGCCGGAGAUUAAGCGUGUUGUGAAAUGUAGACGCUCAACGUCUGCACUGCAGCGCGAACUGUUUUCCUUGAGUACGCACAAAGUGGGCGGAAUUCGUGGUGUAGCGGUGAAAUGCUUAGAUAUCACGAAGAACUCCGAUUGCGAAGGCAGCUCACUGGAGCGCAACUGACGCUGAAGCUCGAAAGUGCGGGUAUCGAACAGGAUUAGAUACCCUGGUAGUCCGCACGGUAAACGAUGGAUGCCCGCUGUUGGUCUGAAUAGGUCAGCGGCCAAGCGAAAGCAUUAAGCAUCCCACCUGGGGAGUACGCCGGCAACGGUGAAA
rnacentral:rRNA from 1 species